UGGAAAGGAAGGGAGCGGCGUUCAUCACCGUGGGCCCCGCCAGCCCGUUCAACAGCUGCCCGCCGUGGAUCAGCCUGCAAGACAGAACAGACCGCCGCGUCUGCGUGAGAACCGCUCGCUGGGGCUUCUUGAUUAAAAAGGCACCUGAGGUACCUAGUGCUGGAGAUGGAGCUGCUGCACAAAGAAAUGAAAGGCCUGUGCAAAAGAAGGAUAUUCUAUUCACCAAAAGAAGCCAAAUUAGAUUGAUUUAAAGAAUCUGGAGCUACUCUGAUCUCAUUACCUCAUAUAAAAAGAGAAGUAAAUGUUCUCUUCAAAGCAGAAAAGGAAAAGGGAAUAAAAGGGACCUUCUUUGCAGCAAAAAGGUAUCAUGACAGGAGAUAAAAGUAGAAAAGGUGUAGUAGGAGAAAAGCUUUAAAUUUCAAACAUUGUAAGCCUGACUGACCCUCGUGCCUGCAUAAAUCCCAACAGAAGAUUUCAAUUAGUUAUGGCAAAUCCAAAAUUGAAACACUUCAGCAAAACACUCUGCAUAUUUUUUCACUGCAUUAUUUAUUUUUAUUUACACACUCAGAUGAGCUCUAUGUGCCUACAGAU